rnacentral:tRNA from 1 species
GUCCCGUUCGUCUAGAGGUUAGGACACUGGCCUUUCACGCCGGUAACAGGAGUUCGAUUCUCCUACGGGACGCCA